GGAAAUGUGGCUUAUUAGUAGAGUGCUUGCCUAGCAUGCAUGAAGCUCUAGGUUCGAUUCCUUAGUACCA
rnacentral:tRNA from 1 species